rnacentral:rRNA from 1 species
CAAGGCUUGACAUAUAGAGGAAAAGUGCAGAAAUGCACUCCCCGCAAGGUCUCUAUACAGGUGGUGCAUGGUUGUCGUCAGCUCGUGUCGUGAGAUGUUGGGUUAAGUCCCGCAACGAGCGCAACCCUCGUCCUAUGUUGCCAGCACGUAAUGGUGGGAACUCAUGGGAUACUGCCGGGGUCAACUCGGAGGAAGGUGGGGAUGACGUCAAAUCAUCAUGCCCCUUAUGUCUUGGGCUUCACGCAUGCUACAAUGGCCGGUACAGAGGGCUGCAAUACCGCAAGGUGGAGCGAAUCCCAGAAAGCCGGUCUCAGUUCGGAUUGAGGUCUGCAACUCGACCUCAUGAAGUCGGAGUCGCUAGUAAUCGCGAAUCAGCAACGUCGCGGUGAAUACGUUCCCGGGUCUGUACACACCGAAUCUAGAGCAUCGGAGACAG